rnacentral:rRNA from 1 species
GACGAACGCUGGCGGCGUGCCUAAUACAUGCAAGUCGAGCGCAGGAAACUGACGGAACUCUUCGGAGGGAAGGCAGCGGAAUGAGCGGCGGACGGGUGAGUAACACGUAAGGAACCUGCCUCAAGGAUUGGGAUAACUCCGAGAAAUCGGAGCUAAUACCGGAUAGUUCAUCGGACCGCAUGGUCCGUUGAUGAAAGGCGCUCCGGCGUCACCUUGAGAUGGCCUUGCGGUGCAUUAGCUAGUUGGUGGGGUAACGGCCCACCAAGGCGACGAUGCAUAGCCGACCUGAGAGGGUGAUCGGCCACACUGGGACUGAGACACGGCCCAGACUCCUACGGGAGGCAGCAGUAGGGAAUCUUCCACAAUGGACGAAAGUCUGAUGGAGCAACGCCGCGUGAGUGAUGAAGGUUUUCGGAUCGUAAAACUCUGUUGUAAGGGAAGAACGCGUACGAGAGGGAAUGCUCGUACCUUGACGGUACCUUACGAGAAAGCCACGGCUAACUACGUGCCAGCCGCCGCAGUAA